rnacentral:rRNA from 1 species
UACGUAGGGUGCGAGCGUUGUCCGGAAUUAUUGGGCGUAAAGGGCUCGUAGGCGGUUUGUCGCGUCGGGAGUGAAAACCUUGGGCUUAACUCAGGGCUUGCUUUCGAUACGGGCAGACUAGAGGUAUGCAGGGGAGAACGGAAUUCCUGGUGGAGCGGUGAAAUGCGCAGAUAUCAGGAGGAACACCGGUGGCGAAGGCGGUUCUCUGGGCAUGAUCUGACGCUGAGGAGCGAAAGUGUGGGGAGCGAACAGG